rnacentral:rRNA from 1 species
GACGAACGCUGGCGGCGUGCUUAACACAUGCAAGUCGAACGGUGAAGCUCCAGCUUGCUGGAGUGGAUCAGUGGCGAACGGGUGAGUAACGCGUGAGCAACCUGCCCCUGACUCUGGAAUAAGCGCUGGAAACGGCGUCUAAUACUGGAUACGAGAAGGGUCCGCAUGGGCACUUUCUGGAAAGUUUUUCGGUUGGGGAUGGGCUCGCGGCCUAUCAGCUUGUUGGUGAGGUAAUGGCUCACCAAGGCGACGACGGGUAGCCGGCCUGAGAGGGCGACCGGCCACACUGGGACUGAGACACGGCCCAGACUCCUACGGGAGGCAGCAGUGGGGAAUAUUGCACAAUGGGCGAAAGCCUGAUGCAGCGACGCCGCGUGAGGGAUGACGGCCUUCGGGUUGUAAACCUCUUUCAGCAGGGAAGAAGCGAAAGUGACGGUACCUGCAGAAGAAGCACCGGCUAACUACGUG